AAUAAUAAUGCAAAACAUUUGCCUUUUUCCUAAAAGCUUCAAGAAGUUAGAGAAUAAUAUUGCAAUAUUUUAUAUUUAACACUCUUCUUCAUGUCUGAGCUUGAGAAUUUUUUUAACCCCAAAAAUGUGGAGCCUAGUAGCAUACGAACCCAAAAUCUCCUACUCUGAUACCAUGUGAAAUAAUAUUGUAAAACAACCACUUUCUCUAAAAGAUUAAGCUAUUAGGAAGCUGUAUUUUAAAAUUUUAUACUCAACAUAGUUGAAGAAUAAAUAUACAACAUAUAAAUUCAUCAAAUGAAGUUGCAAUC
rnacentral:lncRNA from 1 species